CUAAAACAGAGUUGCUGUUUGCCUUCAAACAAAUGUCUGAAGUGAUAUUAUGAUACAAAAUCUACAAAGCUGUUGAAAGGAGAUGCAUUUCAAGUGUGCAGCUCUGGUGCCUCGAGAACAGAGCCUGAACCAGCUGCUUUGAAGAGAUCUUGGGACUGAAGGACUGAGCUGAGUAAUUUCUAAGGCAGCUCAUGACAACAGAGGAAAGAGCAGAUCAUGGCCCCAAAUCCUGCCCUGGAGCUGAGCAGGGCUCAAGGAGUGGCCCCGUGUGGAGAAGCAGAUGGAGCUCUGCAAACUAUCAGCAUGCUGGAUUUUAUGGAGCAUUUCUGGAGCUGAGGGACAACUGUCUGGGAAUUUCCAGGUCAGGUAACCUUGCUCACUCUUGUAGAAAGCCUGAGGAGCUCCAGGAGGGAUUUAAAGAAGAGAUCUUCCUCUCCUGUUCAGGUGAAUAGUCAUGAAUUAGACUCUUGGGAGACUAAAGCAGUAUAAAUACAUGAGGAAAUCUUUUGA
rnacentral:lncRNA from 1 species